GGGGGGGGGGUGAUAAAAUGGGUGGAAGAAAGUAAAUGAAAUGAGGGCAGUGCUAAUUGUGAAUUCUUAUUAAUAUAAAAAAGUUAUUUGUUUCUUAUCUUGGAGUGUUUUGGCAUAGGGCUAGAUGAGGCACCUGUGCUCGUCGUGCCCUAGUUUUCCAUGGUACCAUAUGCUGUGGCAUGUUGAUCAUAUGACAGGGUUAUGGGUUCAUUCCAGUAUGUAUUUGUGCACACUGUACAGCAAAUGUACUUCAAUCCAUGUGUUCAAGGUAUCUCAAAUUUUCUCUGCAGCGCUUUAUAUUGGAUAUCUUUCUUCAUAUAUCAUGGUGGUAUCAUGGUGAUCAUUUGACAGGGUUAUGGGUCCAUUUCAUUUUGUAUUUGUGCAUACUGUACAGCAAAUGUACUUCAUCCUUGUGUUCAAGGUAUCUUGUCUCUCAUAUGCUGUGCUUUAUCUUGGAUAUCUUCAUAUAUCGUGGUGGGCAGCAAUGAGUAGAUUCUGUAUUACAGAGCAUCGAUAUUUUACUGCAUCGUAGUGUAAUAGCAGAAUGCUUAAUGUUAGCGUGGAACAAAUCCGAGACAUAUUGCUCAUGUCCUAAUUAGAAUAGCUAGAGAAUGGCUCUUUGACAAGGUUUUGAUAUGGCCCAAAAUCCAUACCAUACUCUGACUUUAGUUACAGGAUAGCAAAUUGUCUUUGACAUCCUUUGGAUGCACAAGUACAGAUCAGUAGUGACAAGACUAAAUUCUACAACCAGUGACUUGUGAUAUUUGGCCUUUAAUCUACAACCAGUGACUUGUGAUAUUUGGCCUUUUAUUUAAAGAAAUACUUUAUGAAACAAAUGCUAAUAUUCUGUAUAGGUGGAAUUCUUCAUGAUGUAUUUCUGAGUCCUGUGUUUACAUGCACAAAUGGUUUUGAAAACUAAGAUCAUCAUUCUUUUAGUUGUGUAAUUUCUUCCCCCUCACUCCAGCAAUCUAAUUUCUGUUGUAUAUGCUGCUUUCCAUAUUCUUAGGAUGUAGCAUUGUUUAAUUGUUGUUUCCGUUCUUUCGAAAUGAUGUUUCCGAGUUCUUAUAAUAUCUUUUUUUAACAUUCGCUAUUAAGAAUGCUUGCAAUUAAUUAUUGUGCAUUUGGUUAUAAGUUCCAAUUUUUGUUGCAGCUGAACACGUUGGUAGUUAUAUUUUCUUUUGGUUGCCAUUGUCAAGGAUUUAGAUAACAGACAUCUAAAAAUACCACUAUCACAAAACAACAAUGCCAUCUUAAUAUAUGAUAUGAAUUGUAAUUUUGAAAAGGCCCCUGUAAUAGAUCUGUCUGGCAUGCUCACUGGCAUAUCACACGAUUUGAAUAUCAAUGCAUGCACUCAUGCGCCUGUUCAUUUGUCCAUUAUUU
rnacentral:lncRNA from 1 species